AGUCGCCGCGGUAAUACGAAGGGUGCAAGCGUUAAUCGGAAUUACUGGGCGUAGAGCGUGCGUAGGCGGUGAGUUAAGUCUGCUGUGAAAUCCCCGGGCUCAACCUGGGAAUGGCAGUGGAUACUGGCUCGCUAGAGUGUGUCAGAGGAUGGUGGAAUUCCCGGUGUAGCGGUGAAAUGCGUAGAGAUCGGGAGGAACAUCAGUGGCGAAGGCGGCCAUCUGGGACAACACUGACGCUGAGGCACGAAAGCGUGGGGAGCAAACAGGAUUAGAUACCCCGGUAGUCCCUGUCUCUUAUACA
rnacentral:rRNA from 1 species